rnacentral:pre_miRNA from 1 species
GGUGCUUCGCGAUUCGGAACUGUAUGUACGUCGGUUGGGAGACCUGGUCUUCCUGUACCGACGGUCGUGUUGUGAUUCCGAACGCUCUGCACGC